GAGAAGACCUCGGGAGCACAUGCCGCGAUGCAUCUCGGUAGAGGUAGAUCACCUCAUAGAACAACCUCGGAAAUUCCAUAGGGUUCGUCACCUCCAAUACCAAACGAUUCCUGGGGAUUCUUUCCAGCUUUCUUUCUUGUAUCUCCAACAUUUUAAAGCGCUGGCAGGACAGCGUGAACCCUCAGUCCGAUAAAAUCAUUCUAGUUUCUAAUGCUGAGCCAGUUCACAAUGCCAAGGACUGAUAACAAGAAGACUCUUUCCUACAUCUCAGUGGCUGUGACUGUAACGCCUCCAGGAACAGUUUCCAGGCUGUACCUCCACAUGGAUUAUGUUUGCCCCAAGAUGAUGGCUGAGGACACCAGGGCCAGAAGCACCGCCUUUCCCAAGGCUCUUAGAUUCAGGAUCCUGAGCUGUCUCUGUCAGGGACUGACGUUCAAUUUACAGAAGAGGAACUGAGGCAAACAGGGUGGAGUGACUUGUCCAGAGUCACACAGCUGUUCCUUAUGUGAGGACCCACGUGGAUGAAAUCAUGGCUCUACCAAAGAACCAAUUCAACUGAAUUCAACUCAGCCAGCAUUUAUUAAAUGUCCCCACCAUUGGAGAUACAAAAAAAGACAAAAAUCAAUACUUGCCCUCAAGGUGUGCUUACAUUCUAACAGGAAAGACAGCAUGUAACGUGCAUGCAAGAUAUAUAGAUAGAAGUAGAUAGAAGGUCAUCUUAAAAGGGAGGGCACUAGAAAUGCAGAGUGCUGGGAAAGACCUUUUACAGAGCUAAGCAAAUCGAAAAGGUGGCGAUAAGAAGGAGGUAACGUUUGACUGCAUUCUACUCACAUUGCCCAUUUCGUAUGAGAUCUUACCAUUUGAUUCAGACACUGGUAGUUCCCUGGAUGCUAUAUAGUAAGGUAGAUAUAAGUAGAGGGGAAAGUUUGAAGGAAAUAAAUUAAAAAGGAGAGUAGAGUUCACCAUUUUGUUAGCUAUAAAGGGUCGGUUAAGCAAUGCCUAAAAGUAUCAUUGGUCAGUCAUAAAGAGCAGAAAAAGAAGGAGGAGAAUAAACUAAUGGAAGAAUCAAAGAGAAAGAAGGAGAAAAGAGACUAAAGGGUAGAAAGAAAAAUCCAACUGAAGAGGAAAAAAGAAAAACAAAAUUAGAAGAUGGUGGAGACCCCAGAGAAUGCAUUUCAGCCAUUACUCAGUGAUAGUCCUCUGUAUCUUCAGCACUUAGCCCACUACCUGGAACCUAAUAGGACCUUAAUAUUUACUGACUCGCUGAU